UACGUAGGUGACCAGCGUUGUCCGGAUUUACUGGGCGUAAAGAGCGCGCAGGCGGUCGUUCAAGUCGAGUGUGAAAGCCCCCGGCUCAACUGGGGAGGGUCACUCGAUACUGAUCGACUUGAAGGCAGGAGAGGGAAGCGGAAUUCCCGGUGUAGUGGUGAAAUGCGUAGAUAUCGGGAGGAACACCAGUGGCGAAGGCGGCUUCCUGGCCUGCUCUUGACGCUGAGGCGCGAAAGCUAGGGGAGCAAACGGG
rnacentral:rRNA from 1 species